rnacentral:rRNA from 1 species
AAUAUUGGUCAAUGGAGGCAACUCUGAACCAGCCAAGUCGCGUGAGGGAUGACUGCCCUACGGGUUGUAAACUUCUUUUUUAAGGGAAUAAAGUGAGCCACGUGUGGCUUGUUGCAUGUACCUUAUGAAUAAGGAUCGGCUCGCUCAGUUCCAUGAGCCGCGGUAAUACGGAGGAACCGAGCGUUAUCCGGAUUUAUUGGGUUUAAAGGGUGCGCAGGCGGAAUGUUAAGUCGGCGGUGAAAGUUUGCAGCUUAACUGUAAAAUUGCUGUUAAUACUGGUAUUCUUGAGUGUGUAUGAAGUAGGCGGAAUUUGUAGUGUAGCGGUGAAAUGCAUAGAUAUAGCAAGGAACUCCGAUUGCGAAGGCAACUUACUAAAAUAAAACUGACGCUUAGGCACGAAGGCGUGGGGAUCAAACA